AAGUUACUCACAAAAACAAAAGCAACAAGAAGAAAAAAUGUUUCGCAAUGAGAAGUAGCCAAGUAGGCUAUGCUCAUAUUUUACUGCUAUCUGAUGAGUGACGAGAACUCUCCUACGAACAGGGGAAAGCACGCAGUGAAGCAAGCGAAAAAAUGUGCAAGUCAUCGACUUGUCGAAAGAAAGUCUUUAAUGUACUUAUCGAGCAGACUGACUUAUUACUUACGUAGCAGAGGAGCAGCCGUAGCUGCGCACAUCCGUGAUGUUCGACAAUAAAUAUCCAGUAUACCAGUAUUUGCACUAUAAAUCAUUAAUGCCGUCGAUUGUCUGUACUCACAGAUGACGAAUGUGGAGAUUUAUACGAGUGUAAGCAGUUUGUUAGUGCCUAUAAUUACAGUAAUAAAAGAGAGCUAGAAACUUUUUACAGUGCAUCUUUACAUACUUUAUUUAUAAUUUGUGUUAUGCGCCUUGACGUUGUCCAGCCAUGGCAAGGCCUACAGAUUUAUGCCGCCGUUGACAGUUUUUUAAAUGCAGUUCAAGAUGACGCUAAAUGGAGUAAAUAAAUGCCGUGCCACCAUUGAAUUACUGGAUGACAAGGACGAAAGCCAAAGCCAAAGCUUUGUUAUCG